CCAGAUCAGAGCUGAAGGCUUGCUUCCAACUCACUGUGCUUGCCCGGGCAUGGCCCAAUUAUCCCUAAUGUAUGGAAGAAAUGGCUGUGUAUUUCCUGCUGAGCCUCUCGAACCGACUGAGCACUAGGCAUCACGCUGUAGUGUCACCAUCCCGCAGGGGCAGAAUUUUCUCCGUGGAAGAAAAGUAUUUAGAAGACAAAUUACCUGGAAGAUAAUGGGGUCAGCCGACCAAGACCACAGUGGAAGUAACAAGAAAAUAUCUCUGAGAAUAAAGCUUUCAUGGUCAAAUAAAACAAAAAUAUUAAUUCAUAGAUGUAUUUAUUUGUCACACAGUUGUCAACAGUCAUGAAGUAUAGGUAUCUCUGUCCCCUAGGUAUUUGCAAUUUAAUUGGGAGGAAAAACACACAACAAUUGUAAUUUACAUAUGUUCAUUGCAAAAAAUAAAAAGGGAAAAUAGAAAAAAAGCAUAAAAAAGAAAAUUACUAACUUUUUCAUUGGGUUUUAUAAGUAUUUUUCUUCAUUUUUAUGUGCUUUUAAAAAUAAAAUGACUACCAUACUACAUAUAUAUAGUUCUGCUUUUUCCACUUAACUUUACUUACCAGGAGAAGUGGAAAAGGAAGUCUUUAACCCCCCUUCCAACUCUACAACAUACAUGGUAGAUAAAGGAUUCAUAUCACACAGACAAGGGCUCUUACAAAUUGAGAGAAAAAAAAAAGUGGAACAUCUCAGAGAAGUGGGCGAAGAACACAUGACAAGUGAAGCCACCAUAAAAGAAAUACAUGUGGCCAAAAAACAUUUAAAAUAUUCAAAUUCACUAGAAAUUCAAGAAGUGCAAAAUAAUGGAUGAGAUCUCAUUUUCACCUAUCAAGUUGGCAAACAUUUUUAUAAUAUUCAUUUCUAUAGUGGGAAAUCUAGUACAUGAAUAAAAGCCUUAAAAUUUU